rnacentral:rRNA from 1 species
AUUGAACGCUGGCGGCAGGCUUAACACAUGCAAGUCGAGCGGGGGAAGGUAGCUUGCUACCGGACCUAGCGGCGGACGGGUGAGUAAUGCUUAGGAAUCUGCCUAUUAGUGGGGGACAACAUCUCGAAAGGGAUGCUAAUACCGCAUACGUCCUACGGGAGAAAGCAGGGGAUCUUCGGACCUUGCGCUAAUAGAUGAGCCUAAGUGGGAUUAGCUAGUUGGUGGGGUAAAGGCCUACCAAGGCGACGAUCGGUAGCGGGUCUGAGAGGAUGAUCCGCCACACUGGGACUGAGACACGGCCCAGACUCCUACGGGAGGCAGCAGUGGGGAAUAUUGGACAAUGGGGGGAACCCUGAUCCAGCCAUGCCGCGUGUGUGAAGAAGGCCUUAUGGUUGUAAAGCACUUUAAGCGAGGAGGAGGCUACUCUAGUUAAUACCUAGGGAUAGUGGACGUUACUCGCAGAAUAAGCACCGGCUAACUCUGUGCCAGCAGCCGCCGCAG